GGGGAUUUAGCUCAGUGGUAGAGCGCUUGCCUAGCAAGCACAAAGCGCUGGAUUCAGUCCCCA
rnacentral:tRNA from 1 species